rnacentral:rRNA from 1 species
GACGAACGCUGGCGGCGUGCUUAACACAUGCAAGUCGAACGGAAAGGCCCUGCUUUUGUGGGGUGCUCGAGUGGCGAACGGGUGAGUAACACGUGAGUAACCUGCCCUUGACUUUGGGAUAACUUCAGGAAACUGGGGCUCAUACCGGAUAGGAGCUCCUGCUGCAUGGUGGGGGUUGGAAAGUUUCGGCGGUUGGGGAUGGACUCGCGGCUUAGCAGCUUGUUGGUGGGGUAGUGGCUUACCAAGGCUUUGACGGGUAGCCGGCCUGAGAGGGUGACAGGCCACAGAGGGCUACGGGUGCGGCCCGUACGGAAUCGUGAGGCAUGAGUGAAAAAUUGAGGACGAAGGGCGGAAUGCGUGAGGAGGAUCGCCGCAUGCUAGAUGUCGGCCUUCAGGGUGUAAACCACGUUCACGUAUGACGAAACGUGAGGGAGGUAAAUAGGUAGAGAGGCACCGGCUAACUACUU